UUCUUUGCCUUAUCUCCAAACUCAAAGUGGUACCAGCAGUGUGGAUGGUCAUCUGGUCGUUGCCGUGUUUGAGUUCUGGACCUGGAGCGUAUGUGG
rnacentral:pre_miRNA from 1 species